AUACGGAGGGUGCAAACGUUGUUCGGAAUUACUGGGCGUAAAGCGCGCGUAGGCGGUUUGUUAAGUCAGAUGUGAAAGUCCACAGCUCAACUGUGGAAGUGCAUUUGAGACUGGCAGACUUGAGUACUGGAGGGGGUGGUGGAAUUCCCGGUGUAGAGGUGAAAUUCGUAGAUAUCGGGAGGAAUACCGGUGGCGAAGGCGACCACCUGGCCAGAUACUGACGCUGAGGUGCGAAAGCGUGGGUAGCAAACGGGAUUAGAAACCCUAGUAGUCC
rnacentral:rRNA from 1 species